GUUGUAUGGUUAAGUGACUAAGCGUACAUGGUGGAUGCCUUGGCAGUCAGAGGCGAUGAAGGACGUACUAACCUGCGAUAAGCCGUGAGCAGUCGGUAAGAGACAUUACGACUCACGGAUUUCCGAAUGGGGAAACCCACUUAGCAUAAGCUAGGUAUCGCUGCGUGAAUACAUAGCGUAGCGAGGCGAACCGGGAGAACUGAAACAUCUAAGUACCCCGAGGAAAAGAAAUCAACCGAGAUUCCCUCAGUAGCGGCGAGCGAACGGGGAUUAGCCCUUAAGCAUCUUGGAAGUUAGUGGAACGGUCCUGGAAAGGCCGGCGAUACAGGGUGAUAGCCCCGUACACGAAAACAACCUUGAUGUGAAAUCGAGUAGGGCGGGACACGUGACAUCCUGUCUGAAUAUGGGGGGACCAUCCUCCAAGGCUAAAUACUCCUGACUGACCGAUAGUGAACCAGUACCGUGAGGGAAAGGCGAAAAGAACCCCUGUGAGGGGAGUGAAAUAGAACCUGAAACCGUGUACGUACAAGCAGUGGGAGCCCUUCGGGGUGACUGCGUACCUUUUGUAUAAUGGGUCAGCGACUUACAUUUUGUAGCGAGGUUAACCGUAUAGGGGAGCCGUAGGGAAACCGAGUCUUAACUGGGCGUCUAGUUGCAAGGUGUAGACCCGAAACCGGGUGAUCUAGCCAUGGGCAGGUUGAAGGUUGAGUAACAUCAACUGGAGGACCGAACCCACUAACGUUGCAAAGUUAGGGGAUGACCUGUGGCUGGGGGUGAAAGGCCAAUCAAACUCGGAGAUAGCUGGUUCUCCCCGAAAGCUAUUUAGGUAGCGCCUCGGACGAAUACUACUGGGGGUAGAGCACUGUUUGGGCUAGGGGGUCAUCCCGACUUACCAACCCCAUGCAAACUCCGAAUACCAGUAAGUAAUAUCCGGGAGACACACGGCGGGUGCUAACGUCCGUCGUGAAGAGGGAAACAACCCAGACCGCCGGCUAAGGUCCCAAAGUUCUGGUUAAGUGGGAAACGAUGUGGGAAGGCUCAGACAGCUAGGAUGUUGGCUUAGAAGCAGCCAUCAUUUAAAGAAAGCGUAAUAGCUCACUAGUCGAGUCGGCCUGCGCGGAAGAUGUAACGGGGCUCAAACCAGGCACCGAAGCCGCGGAUUCACGCUAAGCGUGAGUGGUAGGGGAGCGUUCUGUAAGUCUGCGAAGGUGUGUCGAGAGGCAUGCUGGAGAUAUCAGAAGUGCGAAUGCUGACGUAAGUAACGAUAAAGGGGGUGAAAAGCCUCCUCGCCGGAAGACCAAGGGUUCCUGUCCAACGUUAAUCGGGGCAGGGUGAGUCGACCCCUAAGGCGAGGCCGAAAGGCGUAGUCGAUGGGAAGCAGGUUAAUAUUCCUGCACGACUUGUAAUUGCGAUGGGGGGACGGAGAAGGCUAGGUGGGCCAGGCGACGGUUGUCCUGGUGAAAGUGCGUAGGUGGUGUUUCUAGGCAAAUCCGGAGACACAACACUGAGACACGAGACGAACACACUACGGUGUGGAAGCCAUUGAUGCCCUGCUUCCAGGAAAAGCCUCUAAGCUUCAGAUUACAAGUCAUCGUACCCCAAACCGACACAGGUGGUCGGGUAGAGAAUACCAAGGCGCUUGAGAGAACUCGGGUGAAGGAACUAGGCAAAAUAGAACCGUAACUUCGGGAGAAGGUUCGCUCUUGACAGUGAAGUCCCUUGCGGAUGGAGCAGUUGGGAGUCGCAGUGACCAGAUGGCUGGGACUGUUUAUCAAAAACACAGCACUCUGCAAACACGAAAGUGGACGUAUAGGGUGUGACACCUGCCCGGUGCCGGAAGGUUAAUUGAUGGGGUUAGCGCAAGCGAAGCUCUUGAUCGAAGCCCCGGUAAACGGCGGCCGUAACUAUAACGGUCCUAAGGUAGCGAAAUUCCUUGUCGGGUAAGUUCCGACCUGCACGAAUGGUGUAACCAUGGCCAUGCUGUCUCCACCCGAGACUCAGUGAAAUCGAAUUCGCCGUGAAGAUGCGGUGUACCCGCGGCUAGACGGAAAGACCCCGUGAACCUUUACUACAGCUUGGCACUGAACAUUGAACCUACAUGUGUAGGAUAGGUGGGAGGCUUUGAAGGCGUGACGCCAGUUGCGCUGGAGCCGUCCUUGAAAUACCACCCUUGUAUGUUUGAUGUUCUAACGCAGGCCCAUGAAUCUGGGUCGCGGACAGUGCCUGGUGGGUAGUUUGACUGGGGCGGUCUCCUCCCAAAGAGUAACGGAGGAGCACGAAGGUUGGCUAAUCCUGGUCGGACAUCAGGAGGUUAGUGCAAUGGCAUAAGCCAGCUUAACUGCGAGACGGACAGGUCGAGCAGGUACGAAAGUAGGUCAUAGUGAUCCGGUGGUUCUGAAUGGAAGGGCCAUCGCUCAACGGAUAAAAGGUACUCCGGGGAUAACAGGCUGAUACCGCCCAAGAGUUCAUAUCGACGGCGGUGUUUGGCACCUCGAUGUCGGCUCAUCACAUCCUGGGGCUGAAGUCGGUCCCAAGGGUAUGGCUGUUCGCCAUUUAAAGUGGUACGCGAGCUGGGUUCAGAACGUCGUGAGACAGUUCGGUCCCUAUCUGCCGUGGGCGUUGGAUGAUUGAAGGGAGUUGCUCCUAGUACGAGAGGACCGGAGUGAACGAACCUCUGGUGUUCGGGUUGUCACGCCAGUGGCACUGCCCGGUAGCUAAGUUCGGAAUCGAUAACCGCUGAAAGCAUCUAAGCGGGAAGCGAGCCCUGAGAUGAGUCAUCCCUGACCCCUUGAGGGUCCUAAAGGGCCGUUGGAGACCACAACGUUGAUAGGUGGGGUGUGUAAGCGCGGCGACGUGUUGAGCUAACCCAUACUAAUUACCCGUGAGGCUUAACCAUACAACACCCAAGAAGUGUUCU
rnacentral:rRNA from 1 species